rnacentral:rRNA from 1 species
GCUUACGGCCAUACCACCCUGAACACGCCCGAUCUCGUCCGAUCUCGGAACUAAAGCAGGGUCGGGCCUGGUUAGUACUUGGAUGGAGACCGCCUGGGAAUACCAGGUGCUGUAAGCU